UACAGAGGUCUCGAGCGUUAGGCGGAAUCACUGGGCUUAAAGCGUGUGUAGGCGGAUCGUUAAGUACCUUGUGAAAUCCCACGGCUUAACCGUGGAACUGCUUGGUAUACUGGCGGUCUUGAGCCAGCUAGGGGCUACCGGAACAAAUGGUGGAGCGGUGAAAUGCGUAGAUAUCUGGAGGAACACCGGUGGCGAAGGCGGCAUCCUGGACCAACACUGACGCUGAGGAGCGAAAGCCAGGGGAGCAAACGGG
rnacentral:rRNA from 1 species